UGGGGAAUUUUGGACAAUGGGCGCAAGCCUGAUCCAGCAAUGCCGCGUGCAGGAUGAAGGCCUUCGGGUUGUAAACUGCUUUUGUACGGAGCGAAAAGGUCUGCCCUAAUACGGUGGGCUCAUGACGGUACCUGAAGAAUAAGCACCGGCUAACUACGUGCCAGCAGCCGCGGUAAUACGUAGGGUGCAAGCGUUAAUCGGAAUUACUGGGCGUAAAGCGUGCGCAGGCGGUUAUGCAAGACAGAGGUGAAAUCCCCGGGCUCGACCUGGGAACUGCCUUUAUGAAUGCAUAGCUAGAGAACGGUAGAGGGGGAUGGAAUUCCACGUAUAGCAGUGAAAUGCGUAGUUAUGCGGAGCAACACCGAUGGCGAAAGCAAUCCCCUGGACCUGAACUGACGCUCAUGCACGAAAGCAAGGAGAGCAAACA
rnacentral:rRNA from 1 species